rnacentral:rRNA from 1 species
CCCUUAGACGUUCUGGGCCGCACGCGCGCUACACUGACCAGUGCAACAAGCAUCCGUCCUUGGCCGACAGGCCCGGGCAAUCUUUGAACGCUGGUCGUGAUGGUGAUAGACUUUUGCAAUUUUUGGUCUUCAACGAGGAAUUCCUAGUAAACGCAAGUCAUCAACUUGCAUUGAUUACGUCCCUGCCCUUUGUACACACCGCCCGUCGCACCUACCGAUUGAAUGGUCCGGUGAAGCCUCCGGAUUGGCGCGCACCUCGGUGCCGCCGAGAAGUUGGCUAAACCUUACCAUUUAGAGGAAGGUGAAGUCGUAACA